ACCGGUACCAGUCCGCGGCCCAGGUGUCGGGGGCCCAUGGUUUAAGGAACUCACUGCACACCCCUGACUCCGGAUCCUCUCUUGUCUAAUGUCCUGCCUGAGGCCAGCUCCCACCAGCCUGUUCACGGCCACCGCAGUAUAGCUCACACUCUUACCCACAGGGAAUCUGGCCCCGGGGAGGAAUCUCUGGGCCAGAACAAAGGAAAAAUUCAGUAAUGCAGCCCUGGGAGAGGCCCAGGAAACAGCCGGAUUUAAAGAACACAAACAAGAGGCCAGAAGUCACAUCCCUCACAACUCUAAACAAAACUUUUAAAAGUUGAAACCGGGCUUCCCUGGUGGCGCAGUG